CCGUCCGCGCCCCGGCUUCCGGCUCCCGGCGGGCGGCGCUGCCACGGGGUUCGGGUGGGCGCGGGCGCGGGUCCUCACAGGCCGCCGGAGCGUGGCCUGGCGGCUCGUCAGCGCCGCCCCGGGGCGCGAUCCUGCCGCCCGGCCGCCGUCCUCGGCCUUUGAGCUCGCGGGCCGCCACGUGGACCGCGCCCGCCGCCGCUUUACGUAAUGGGGCCGGCCCCUGUGGGCCGCGGGCCUCGCGCCCAGGCGCUUCCGCCUUGUCGGCGGAGCUAGCCGGAAGGAAAGAAAGGCCGGCGGCCGGGGCAGCUGCGGGCUCGGUGUCUGUCCCCGCUGCCGCCCCGCGCCCCCGCGGGCCCCUCAGACCCCUCACAGACCUUCAGGGCGGCCCCCAGCAGCGGACACGUCAGAGGGGAUAACAGCAGAGUGCUGAGACCUGGCAGACAGGGAGAAACUGGGAUGACUAAAUGAACAGGAUGGAUGAAGAUGGUGAACAGGGCCUGCAGGUUGAUCCCUAAUCAACAACUAAUGUGAUGUAAAAGACACCACUUCCUUCAGAGAUGCCAAUUGGAUGAAAAUUCCAGCUGCACCAGUCUUCAGACCAAGACCUCUGGGGGCUUCUCAGAGUGGGGCUUGACAACCUCCCCACAUACUUCCAGAAGCUUCAUCAGCCACGCUCACAUCCCACCACCGUGGCCUGUCAAUCUUGGGCUCAGUUCUACAGAUCCUAGAUUUCCGGGAGCAUGCAGCCACAUAUGGCCCUGUGAUACCUCCAAAUUCCACAAUACUGACAUCCCAGGAGCAGCACACCAAAGUAGAUGGGGAGGCAACACUGAAACCAGCCAAGUGCAGGAAGCAAUGCCUAUACCACAGAGAGCUCACCAAUGAACAGCUGAUAACCCCCCAGAAAGCAAUGACUAUGCCCCAGAGAGUUCUCCAAUAAACAGCUGAUAAACCCUCAGAAAAGGACUGGGAUGGCGAGAUAUAAAAAUGUUCACAAAGUUUCUUUCACUGUCUGUAGUAUUCUUUGAUAAUUUUAUCAGGCAUUUAGUUGUAACAGGGAAUAUAAAAUUAUUUUGUGCCUGCUAAGUGGGCAGGCUUGGGGGCGGAUGGAAAAAUGGGGACAGUGGUGGAGGGGAGGUCAUGAUGGUGAUGGAUUAGUGUUUAAGCACUGAAUGCCUAUCAGAACUGUAUUAUGAACAACUUUGUAAAUCAUGUGUUUAAAUAAAGUAAAAUUAAUUUUUUUGCUUCUGUUGUUUUGGGCCAUCCCCAACAGCACUGAGAGAGCCUCCUGGUUCUGUGCCCAGGGGUCACUCCUGGAGGGCAUGGUGCUGGGGUGGAACACUGGCCAGGGCAGGCAAAGCAGGACACCUCACUCCUGUACGAUCACACAGAACCCCAAACAUCUUUACAAAGUUCUGCAGAGCACAGGAUCUGCCUGGAACAGACCAGGGAAGCUACAUUUUGACAAUCGUGUACCCUGCAGAGCCCUGAGGAAGUGAGGCUGGCGUCUCUGAUGGUGGGAUGACAGGCUGUUUUCACUUCAUUAUUGACUCUGUUAUGAACCAAAAGCCCUGUGAGGAGAGGCCGGUCCUGGGUCUGCACUGGAGCUGGGUGGUACCUGCAGUCGUUGGUUCAAUCCUGGGGGAAAAACAAGCGAUUGUGGGAGGGGUGCACGUUCUCUAGCCUGCCACCUGCUGGUAGCUCCUGGUACCAUCCUGGCAUCACUCAGGUUCUGUCCUCACCUCUUGGCAACUGUGCGCAGGGACUGCUUUGCCAUCUAGGCCCAGCGGUCAGCAGUUCUCUCCUCUUCAUCUCCUUCCUGUGGCUGCCCCACACCCUGAGGCCGGGCAUGCUCCAGGAGCAGCCAGGAUCCUGGGGUCAUGCAGGGAGGUUCUCUGGGGAGGGGGCAACCCAGGCAGUCAUCACCUGCUCAAACUCGAGAAGGCCAGGUGGGCCAGGUGGGCCAGGUGGAGGAGGCUGCCCCCAUGUUCACGCUCCUCUCCUCACAGAGCAGGGCACAGCCUGGGCCAGAACAGCCAACAGCCUGGGAGGGACCUGUCACUGCCAUGCCCACAAAGCUCCAGUUUCAGUGGGACAGAUGGAUAACUGAUCAAGACCUGCGACAUUCCUGGUGGCAGGAAGUGCUAAGUAAUGGGUCAGGGUAGAGAAAACGUUGAAGAGGGAGGGACUGGGGGUUGGAGGUGGGGUGUGGCUCAGUGGUAGGGCACUCACGUGUGUGGCGCCCUGGGUUUAAUUCCUGGCAGCACAAGAAGGAAAAGGAAAGAUUUAGGGAAUGAAACAUUGUGUUGCUUUCCUUUUUUUUUGGCCACACCUGGCUUGCUCAGGGUUUACUCCUGGUUCUGUGCUCAGGGAUCACUCUGCUCGGAGGAUCAUAAGAUCAUAAGGGUGCUGGGGAUGAACCCAGGCUGGCAAGUACUCUGCCUGCUCUACGACCUGUCUCAAGGGAGUGAAACUUGACAGAGCAGCCAGGAAACAUUCCACAGAAUUUCACAGAGAAGCCUCACUUAGGCGACUCUCAAGUCCCCAAGGAAGAAAAGGGACUCUGAUGAGGAAGUGAGGGAACUAAUGCUGUCACACCUGCCAACACCAUUUCUGCAGUCACAGAGAAAUGUUAAUACUUCCUUUGCCAGUUGCUGUUGAUUUUUUUUUUUUGAGCCGCACCCUGCAGUGCUCAGGGGCUACUCCCAGGAGUGCUGGGACAGAACCCAGAGCAUGUGCUCCAGCCUUUGGCACCGUCUCCCCAGCCCUGCCACUCACUGGCAUCGUAGUAUCUCUGGCUUCCGUGGUUGCUGAAUCACAGCUGUGGGGCUACUGAAUAGAGAACUCUCUAGAAGACCAUGAUCACAGCCAGUCUGGAAGGCCGAAAGUCAGGCAGCAGAUGUUUGGGGGGUCUCACGCGGUGUCAGUGCAAACGCAGCGGCUUUCUGAGCGCCGAGGAGGCUGGUCAGUCCCAACACAGCUUCUGGCCCUGACAACCUUCACUCUGAGAAGGGCACAGUGACAUUCUCUGCAACAGCGGGACAAGGGCGGCCACUGCUCAAACAGGGUCCCUUGCGACUUAGUCUUGGGAGGAUUCGCCCAUCAAGCUGAGUUUCUUGCAGGACAUUUAUUUGGUUGUUGGGGGUGGGAAGGAGCUAACACCAUCUGGAGAUAAUCAAGACCAGAAA